UACAGAGGGUGCGAGCGUUAAUCGGAAUUACUGGGCGUAAAGCGUGCGCAGGCGGUUUUGUAAGCCGGAUGUGAAAUCCCCGGGCUUAACCUGGGAAUGGCAUUCGGGACUGCAAGGCUGGAGUGCGGCAGAGGAGACUGGAAUUCCUGGUGUAGCAGUGAAAUGCGUAGAUAUCAGGAGGAACACCAAUAGCGAAGGCAGCUCGCUGGGACGUAACUGACACUGAGAUGCGAAAGCGUGGGGAGCAAACAGG
rnacentral:rRNA from 1 species